AUUGAACGCUGGCGGCAGGCCUAACACAUGCAAGUCGAGCGGAUGAAGGGAGCUUGCUCCUGGAUUCAGCGGCGGACGGGUGAGUAAUGCCUAUGAAUCUGCCUGGUAGUGGUGGAUAACGUCCGGAAACGGGCGCUAAUACCGCAUACGUCCUGAGGGAGAAAGUGGGGGAUCUUCGGACCUCACGCUAUCAGAUGAGCCUAGGUCGGAUUAGCUAGUUGGUGGGGUAAAGGCCUACCAAGGCGACGAUCCGUAACUGGUCUGAGAGGAUGAUCAGUCACACUGGAGCUGAGACACGGUCCAGACUCCUACGGGAGGCAGCAGUGGGGAAUAUUGGACAAUGGGCGAAAGCCUGAUCCAGCCAUGCCGCGUGUGUGAAGAAGGUCUUCGGAUUGUAAAGCACUUUAAGUUGGGAGGAAGGGCAGUAAGUUAAUACCUUGCUGUUUUGACGGUACCAACAGAAUAAGCACCGGCUAACUUCGUG
rnacentral:rRNA from 1 species